UUAUCAACUCUUAUUUAAAACGACCGGAAAUUGUACUCUGCCAAAGCGAGUUCAGAAAGCAUAUCCAGUCCAAACCAGAUAAAGGAAGAGUAUUGACAUAGGUUGCAACAACAACAUACCCAGUGUAGUCCCACAACUGGGGUCUCGGGAGGGUAGAAUGUAUCUAGACCUUACCCUAUGUUGCUCAGACUCUUCAAAAAUGUCAGUGUAUUUUUGGAGGAUCCAACACGGUUGCGGCAUCAAAACUGAAGAGUCCGCACAACUUAGACCUUACCCCUACCUCGCUGAGGUAGAGAGGGCGUUUCCGAAGCAAAACAAUGAGUUGUCGUAGGUUAAUAGCAUAAAAAUUUAAUCUUUAUUCAAAAAUUAAAAUCACAUUAGCUUAAAUAAAGCUGAAUAUCAACAGAUAAUUCAUAUAGAAAAACUCAAACUAAUUUGAAUUAAGGCAUAAUUAAGCAAAUUAACAAAGAAGCUUAACAAUUGGAUUAUAAAAAUCGGUAAAAAAUCACCUAGCAUUUUUUUUUUGGUCUCUACAGAAAUUUGAACCUGAGACCUUAUAUAACCGACGUAGUACUUCUCUUGUUUUUGCAAUAGGAUCAUAACAGUACGUAGACCUUACCCCUACCUCGCGGAGGUAGAGAGGCUGUUACCGAAGCAAAUAAAUGAGUUGUCAUAGGUUAAUAGCAUAAAAAUUUAAUCCUUAUUCAAAAAUUAGGAUCACAUGAGCUUGAAUAGAACUGAAUAUAACAGAUAAUUCAUACAGCAAAACCCAAAUUAAUUAAAA
rnacentral:lncRNA from 1 species